ACCUGAAAGCCAACCGAGAACUACGAAUAGUAACCCUGGACAAACCAUCUAACUUUGAAGAAACCGAUGAAAGUGUUGUUAAAAUCAGAAUAUUAUCUAACCAGUCAGUAAAUAAAAGUGAUAAAAAUACUUAUUGUUCAGCCGAAAUUUUUGGUAAAGAAUUAGUAGUAGAUAAAGAUUAUUAUUUUGGUUAUAAUGAAAAGUUUGCAAUUUUUACAUUUACUGGUUGUGUUAUACAAAUAAAGGGAACGACUUUACAAGAAUAUGAAAGUAAAAAUAAUAGUAUAAAAGAAUAUUUAUCAUUAUGUUAUGUAUUAGAUGCAUAUAGAAUGUUAGCAAAAAAAAAGAAGAAGGUAGGUCCAAGGGUAUUAAUAACUGGUAAUAAUAAUGCGGGAAAAAGCACUAUUUCUAUGCUAUUAUUAAAUUAUGCAUCAAAAAGUAAUUUUAAACCUAUAUACAUUGAAACUGAUACAAAAUGUACCUGUGAUAAAAUUAGUUUAAAUAAAGGUCCAGGUAUUAUUAGUGGAUUUGUUUAUGACAAUUUAAAAACAAGUUAUUCAAUUGACUAUUUGUUUGGUUAUUCAGAUAUACAUGAAGAUAUAAAAUUAUACUACCAUAUUAAUGAAUGUAUAAGUAGUUGUAUUUAUUUAAUGAUGUUAAACAAUAUAAGUUAUCAGUCAUCUAAUUUUAAAAAUAGUACAGACCAAGAACUAUUAUAUCCGUCUGGUUUUAUACUAAAUGUACCAUCAGAAGCAGAUAAUGACAUAAUACAUAAUUUAAUUGAAAUAUACAACAUUAAUGUUGUUAUAGUUAUAGAUAACUCUUUUUUGUAUUACUCUUUAAAAGAAUAUUAUAAUAACACUGUGUCAUCGUUAAAUAUUACUGAUGAAACGAUAGGACAAAAACAUAGCAAAGAUAUUGAUAAGAACGUGUACAGUAGUGGAACAGCCAAUUAUUAUGGUAGUAGUCAUGGGAACUACUACAGCAGUAGCAAUAACUAUAAUUACAACAUAAAUGACAUGGAACAAUAUGCUCCACAUUUGACAUAUGGUAAUAAGAAUACAGAAUCAAACAAUUCAUUAUACUCUAAAAAUAAUAGCUCAAUUAGUUUAGGAAACAACAAAUACAACAAUGAUAAUGAUAAUAAUAAUAACAAUAAUAACAAUAAUAAUAAUAAUAAUAAUAAUAAUAACAAUAAUAAUAAUAAUAAUAAUAAUAACAAUAACAAUAAUAACAAUAAUAACGUAAGUAAUGUGAGUAACGUGAGUAACAAAAAGGAUGUUAAAAAAGAAGAUAUACAAAUAUUGGGUAUGCCAAAAUUUGAUGGUGUUAUUCCAUCAGAUACUAGUCGCUUACGCUAUUGUCGAAAUUUAUGGUAUUAUAAUUAUUUUAAAAAAAAUAUAGUUGUUAAUAACACUUCCUACAAAAAAACACAUUUAUUAACAUUUCGAUAUAGUAGUACCACUUUUGUCAAACUAGAUAGUAACUUAGCUGUUCCUUUAUCCGCUUUACCAUGUGAUUUUAAGAAUGUAAAAAGAGAUAUAAUAUUAGUUAGUGUAUAUAAUGAAAACAUUAAAAAACUAACCAACUGUGUUUUAGGGGUGUCUUAUUCAAAAGAUAUGCAAUAUGUACACUUAAUCAACAUGGCAGCCUUUGUUCAUAUUCAAAAUAUUCGAGAAAUUGAAAAAGAACCUGAACAACAAAAAGAUAACCCUGAUCAUAUAAAUGGUGGUGAUAACCUCAUGGAAAAAAAUGAACAAACAAACGACGUAGGGAAAGAUGGAGGAAUAGAUGAAGAAAACAAAAAUGAUUAUCUGAUUGAAAUUAUAUGUCCUGUAUCAAUUACCUCAAGUAAUAUACCACCUUACUUUGUAGUGCCUGGUAACAUAAAACAUAUGAAAUUUUAAACGAACAUAUAUAUGCAUGUAUAUAAGUAAGUACCUCCUUUUUUUUUUUUUUUUUUCUUUUUUUUUCUUUUUUUAUGUAAUAAAAAAAAAAAAAAAAUGGUUACA
ensembl:lncRNA